CAAAUCCCAGUGGUCCCAGAUCACUGGAUCCCAGUGGUACCAGAUACUGGAGAGCCAAAUCCCAGCGGUGCCGGAUCCCCAGAUUCCAGUGGUGCCAGAUCCCCAUGAUGCUGGAUAUUGGAAAGCCAAAUCCCAGUGGUCCCAGAUCCCGGUGGUACCGGCCAUCUCUGCCGGAUCCCUGGAUCCCAGUGGUACCAGAUACUGGAAAGCCAAAUCCCAGUGGUCCCAGAUCCCCAGAUCCUGGUGGUACUGGCCAUCUUGGCUGGAUUCCUGGAUCCCUGGAUGCCAGUGAUGCCAGAUCUCCGAGAGCCAAAUCCCAGUGGUCCUGGAUUCCCGGAUCCCAGUGGUUCUGGAUGUCCAAGAGCCAAAUCCCAGCGGUACCGGAUCCUUGAAUCCUGGUGGUGCCAGAUCCCCAUGAUGCUGGAUAUUGGAGAGCCAAAUCCCAGUGGUCCCAGAUCCCCAGAUCCCAGUGGUACCGGCCAUCUCUGCUGGAUUCCUGGAUCCCUGGAUCCCAGUGAUGCCAGAUCUCCGAGAGCCAAAUCCCAGCGGUGCCGGAUCCCCAGAUCCUGGUGGUGCUGGAUACUGGAGAGCCAAAUCCCAGUAGUGCCAGA
rnacentral:lncRNA from 1 species